AUGCAGGGCAACCUGUCUUCAAGAAGAGGUAAAUCACUCUUAUUAAAAAAUAAUCCUAGAUAGAUCUCCCUUCGUGAUGAGCAUCUUGU
rnacentral:pre_miRNA from 1 species